GGAAGGGCCGUAGUUCGGUGGUAAUACUUUUGCCUUGCAUGCAGAAGGUCCCAGGUUCAGUCCCCGGCACCUCCA